rnacentral:rRNA from 1 species
GAAAGCGUGGGGAGCGAACAGGAUUAGAUACCCUGGUAGUCCACGCCGUAAACGGUGGAUGCUGGAUGUGGGGCCCGUUCCACGGGUUCCGUGUCGGAGCUAACGCGUUAAGCAUCCCGCCUGGGGAGUACGGCCGCAAGGCUAAAACUCAAAGAAAUUGACGGGGGCCCGCACAAGCGGCGGAGCAUGCGGAUUAAUUCGAUGCAACGCGAAGAACCUUACCUGGGCUUGACAUGUUCCCGACCGCGGCAGAGAUGUCGUUUCCCUUCGGGGCGGGUUCACAGGUGGUGCAUGGUCGUCGUCAGCUCGUGUCGUGAGAUGUUGGGUUAAGUCCCGCAACGAGCGCAACCCUCGCCCUGUGUUGCCAGCACGUCAUGGUGGGAACUCACGGGGGACCGCCGGGGUCAACUCGGAGGAAGGUGGGGAUGACGUCAGAUCAUCAUGCCCCUUACGUCCAGGGCUUCACGCAUGCUACAAUGGCCGGUACAGCGGGAUGCGACAUGGCGACAUGGAGCGGAUCCCUGAAAACCGGUCUCAGUUCGGAUUGGAGUCUGCAACCCGACUCCAUGAAGGCGGAGUCGCUAGUAAUCGCGGAUCAGCAACGCCGCGGUGAAUGCGUUCCCGGGCCUUGUACACACCGCCCGUCAAGUCAUGAAAGUGGGCAGCACCCGAAGCCGGUGGCCUAACCCCUUGUGGGAUGGAGCCGUCUAAGGUGAGGCUCGUGAUUGGGACUAAGUCGUAACAAGGUAGCCGUACCGGAAGGUGCGGCUG